CCCAGGCCCCAGCCCCCACCGGACAAACCCUAGCCUCACCAAGCCCCACAUCUCGCGCUCCUCCCUCCUCCAUCCUCGUUAGCCGCCGCCGCCGUUCUGCCUCCCUCCUCUCUCCCCUACAACCACGUCGCCGGGAGGAAGCCGCUGUUCGUGGCACCAUGCCGCUGCCGGGGUGUUGCGUACGCUUCGUUCCCCACAGCCCCUCCCUCAUCCUCGCUCAUCACCGCCGCUGCCUGCUACUCCCGGGGCGGCCGAGCGCCAACGAUGCGGCAAUGGCUGUUCCAGGAGGCGAGGGUGAGGGCGCGGGAGUUGGGCAUUGGGCACGUGGACAAGGAGGGAGGAGUCAACUUGAGGGAGGAGAUGAGAGAGGUGAGGGUUGGCAGCUAUUGCAGGGAGAGGAGGAGGAGUCUGGAGGCAAUGGACGAUUUUUUUAGGGUGGUCGGCGACCUACAGCCUACAGGCAACGUCCGUAGUAGCAGCAGGCGACCUGCAGCAGCUCCUUCCUACCUUCCAUGGAUGAGCUCUUCGGAGACGCCGUCCAGCCCGACCACGACCACGACUACCCCACGCACAAGAGGAAGGUUGAUUCAUUUGUCAAAUUCAUUCCACCGAAGCCAUCUGCUCCGCCCACCAACCCGCCCAGAAAGGUAGUUACAGUGAAUUGAUGUUCGCACUGAGGCCGGAGGCGAGAGGCGAGGGCACGGAGGUCGGUGGCAAGUGCUCAGGAGAGAAGAGGAAGGCGGCGGCGCUGGGCGGUGGCUGCGGUUUACACGAGAGGGAGGUGACCCGCCCAGAAAGGUAGUUACAGUGAAUUGAUGUUCAUAUGAACUUCAAUGAUGUGAACUUUUUAUUAGAUCUGAGUUGCAAUCCUCAAUUUUUUUAGGUUUGAGUAGCAAUGCUCCUGCUCUACUAGCUAUGACAUUUUCCAUGCUUUUUCUUCUAAUAUCAUAUAGCGUCCAUGCUUGUGGGUUCAACUUGACGAGCUUUUUUCACCUUCCAUCCUGUUUUAAGCUCUGUUGAUGGAUGAUUUCUGCCAUAUUUAUGGAGGGGGAGGACGCCAACUACUAGGAGAAGGAUCAGUUUAGCAAGUACAGGAUGUAAUUCUCUUAUGAUUGUGGGUAGAUGCCUCCUUUAUUUAGUUACCAGAGUUGUUCACUAUUGAAUAUGCAAAUUCAACAUCCUUUAUAUAAUGGGAUCUUAUGAACUCUUUUUGAAGAUUGCUGAGAAGCGCAACCUUUUGAUCUUGGAGAACCGCAAGUUUGCUGACAUUAAAAACACAUUCAUUAUGCAAGACGAAUGGUGAGAAAUGUGUUAUUCCCUAUCCUUCCAUUCUAUUUGCAUAUUCACGCAGUAUGCUUAGUUUUUUCCUUUCAAGAUGAAUAUUCUACACAUGAGAGCAAUAUACUUGGUAUUAUUGAUGCUCAUAUAAUUCCUGGACCUGGAAUUGUUGAUGGCUUGAGGCUUAAAGUAUGUUAUGUGUUGCAUACCUAAUAAAUAUUAGCAAGCUAAUGUUGCAGCUUGACAGAUGUUGUGAUAACUUCUCCUUUUUCUGUUUGUUAAUAUCCACUUCGAACUGAGCAGCCAUGAUCCGGAUUUCCUCUAUGUAGCUAUGAGAUGCAUGCAGUUCGUUAUUGUGUAUCAUGUGCUAAAACAUUGAUUAUUUGACAAUGAACACAUGGCAAUGCCUUAACUAUUCAACUUGCCUAGCUCAGUAUUUUAACCAAUAGAGAAGUUUUUUUUGUUGCUUUCCCUUUUGUUAGAUAUUUUGCUUUUUGUAUGUUGAGGGGAGAUGGAUAUGGCCUCAGGACUAAACGCACAGACCACAUGAAGUGAUCUGAUGGUAGGUAAAGUAUUUUUUAUUGGCAAUGCUAAUGUCUGGACCAGCUCAAUGGUUUUAACUCUAUGAUGUUCAGUUUAGCAUAUCGCAUGUACAAAUGCAUAUAUACAAAUUGUGGUGGGCAACUCACUAUUUAGACGACGUGACUAUUCUCUUGAUAAGGAGAGUCCCACCAUACUCAUGUGAGAGUUAGGCGUGGUAGUGGGUAGUGUUUUCUCAUCAUCCAUUAUGUGUUUCUUCUGUCUAGCUCGAAGUUGCUUAGUUAGAUAAUGAUUCGCAAAUUCUAGCAUUGCAUGUUGCCUGACACUUUUGCAUUAGCAUUGAAUUGCAGCCUGCAUUUUUGCAGCCCGCGAGGCGUGUAAAUGUUGGACUAUUGUUUCUCCGCUGAUGCACAUGUUUCGCCACAGAGACAGUACUCUGUGUGUGUGUGAUCUCUGGAAUUAGUUUUUAUGUUUCUCUAUGUUGAGUACUUUUGUAAUCUCCACGGGUGUGUUUCGUAUUUUCUAUGUACCCUCUGUCAUUCUUUUAAGUGUUUAAUGUUUUCUUUUGUAGUUUUUGAUAUUUAGGUGCAGUCACGUUUCAUUUGUCGCAGACCUGCACCCGUUAGGAAAAUCAUAGUUUCAUUUCGAUCAUGUUUCUUUAAGUUGUUCAGUGUUUGUUCAUUAUGUAGUAGAGUAAGCAGUACAUUUUGUCCAUCAGUUAAAUCACUCAUGUCACAUUCAGUUGAUUGAUUAGGUUUAGUUUUUGUUCCUUUCUCUUUGUUCCUUCAGUUUUUUGUUCCUUUAUUUAGUCAUUGUGCUUGCAUCAUUUGCCAGUAUUUUAGUCCAUCUCAAUAGACCCCUAUGAUUCUUCAUAGUUUAUCUCUUUCGUAGAUCAGACUUUUCCACUUUGUUAGUUAGGCUAAUUUAUGCUUUUUUCAGUUUUUAGUCUUUACAUGAUUUAGUUGGACAGUGUGUUUGGUAUUUCAAUAGUUCAGUAGUUUCAUACUUUCAUUUAAUUAAAUAGUCUUAUUUUUAGUCUCAGUACUUCAGGUUUAGUUUCCAAACAAGUACUUUUUUACUCAUGUGGUUUUCGGUCUUUUGACUAUAUGUGGUUUUCAAUCUUUUCAUCUCUUGGUUUACUUGUCAUUCUUUAUUUAUCCGCCUUACUAUUCUCAGUCUUGUUUUUUAUUGAGAGACACAACCUUUUCAAUACACUUCUAUUUUAAUUUUUCAUAACAACGGCUGUUUUUUUGUUUCAACUUUGACUCUAUGCUAUUAAAGUAAACCAAGUAUAUUAAAAUAAACCAACUAUAUUCAUAUAUGCCUCAGUAAUUGGUAUAGCCGUUUUUUAUCGAGAGAGACAACAUUUCAAAACACUUCUAUCUUCAUUUUUCAUACCAACGAAUAUUUUUUGUGCUGACAUGUGAGUUAAUUAUUUGGAAAAAAUAUAAUUAUAUAUGUAUUGCCAACAAUUUUUAUGUUUAAAGCAACCAAUUUUGUGAAAAGAGUGGAGAGAAAGAUACAUGUGCAAUUUCUUGAUGUUACAGCGGAUGGAUACUCGAUCUUUAAACAUAAGCACACAUGAAUAGGUACAAAUUCGAGGAAAGGCCAAUGAAAUAGUUGUCUGUACACAUAUGUGCCAGUUUUAUACCUGGUUGUCUGGUUGCAUUAUUUGUCCGGUUUCAAUUCAGUUUGAGUAGAUUGUUAUCCGUGAGCGAUACUUGCUACUAUUUGUACCCAUGCACCAAUUUGCAUACCUAUUUUAGGCACAGAAACCAACCAUGACUGAAAAUCAUGUAUAUAUAAUUUACUAUGAUUCAUGGUGAGAAAAUCAUGAUUUAAUAAACGAAAGGUGGUUUGUUUUGCUAACAGUACUGAGUAUAAAUGUAAAUCGCAGAUCGUACGCUGCUGCUACGGGCUCCAUGUUGUUUAUGCUAGACAACACAACGGUGCUUGUGUUAUCUAUAGUUGAAGUCGCAGUUUAAUAUUCUUUGCUUUAUGCUUGUGUUAUAUGUGGUUGAAGGGACAUCCUUGUUAGUUUGCAUGGUCUAUGUAAGAAGGAGCAGUACAAUGCUUGUCAAGUUUGUUUAUAUUCUGAUGGCUGUUGAAUUCUGGACAAUGGAGACGUGAAUUUGUUACGUACAUAGGUACUAGGCAUAGGAUACUUUACUCAUUGAUGACAUGUAGUUUUAGAGAACUUCUGAAAAUUCCAAUUCAGGUUUUCUGUGUUCCAUUCAGGAAGAACGCACAGUCUACACUGGGGUAUAAAAUUAUCUACUACUUACCUUUGUGUCUCGACAUAUGCUUGUGAUGCAUCGUGCUGCCAGAGGCCAACAUUAUCCAGUAUCAUAGCGAUGCCAAAAAUGCCUAUUGGUUACUCCGCAUAUUCUCAUCUGAUUUCUCACAUAUAGAUAUUAAUUUCCUUUCAUGGGAGACCUUCAUUACAUUUCAGCGGCGGUUGCGGAUGUGAUUGGCGGUUGAGGGAGGGUCUCCGACUAGAGCAGCAGGAGCAAGGUGCUCGAGGAAGUUCAGGACAAUUUUCUGGAUUAAUAUCUAUACUGGAGAUCUAGGAGUCCACCCGAAUUCAGUCUCCAAGAAGCCGUUCAUCCAGGAUCCACCAAAAUUCAAAUGAUAUGUGAAAAGCGUGUGCUAGAUGUGGCCCCUAUCCAGCGUUUUGAUCUGUCCACUCAGGUGCUUUUGUCUAGGUGGUAACACAACAAGCUGCUUAUCUUAUACUCCCUCCGUUCCAAAAUAGAUGACUCAACUUUGUACUAACUUUUAAAGUUAGUACAAAGUUGAGUCAUCUAUUUUGGAACGGAGGGAGUAGAAACUUAUUAUACGUACAGUCCUAUGUUCGUUCUGCUUGCAUGUUAGAGAAAGAGCUUCUGCCCCUAUGUAAGUAAUCCUAUGGGAAUUAGCAACGUUGGCUGUACUUUCAAGCGGGUUGAAUCCAAUGCAAGUUUUUGGAGCAGUUGGGUUCCAGAACAAACGACUAGGUAUUCCCAAAGAGGUCAUUCCACUGGUGGCUAGCAUAAUAUCUUCAUGUCGGGACAACGAUCCAAGCAAGCAACCAUCAUUCUACCAGCUCUUGUCAUCGCUGAAGAAAUUACAGUGGUUACAUUGUUACGGAAAGCCUAUGACAAUUUGCGAGUGUUGUUUGUGCAAUAUACUGGUUUUAUGGCAGGUGCAUGUAUGAAUUCAGAUGGUAGUGGUCUCCUUGUUUACAGUUAUAAGAAUAAUAAAAAUAUUGAUAAUGGUCUUUCCACUAUUACAAUCUCAUAGAUUACAUUACCUGCUUCCA